rnacentral:lncRNA from 1 species
UUCGUACCCGGUCCUGCUGUGGUCUGAGGCUGGGUGCGGGGCUGGGGGUGCAGCGGGAGGCACGAGGGGAGGUCCCUGAGGUUGCAGAGCUCUGGGAAGCAGGCAUGCAGAGGGCACUGCAGAUGGAGACAGGUGGAUGAUGGAGUAAUUCGUUUCCAUCUGCUCCUGUACUAUAUUUGAAACCUCAGGAAAGCAUCCUCCUUGUAAGAUGUGAAUCUAAUUUCAAAAGGUAGCACUAUUUCUGAAGUGCAGCAGCCUCUGCAAGCCCUGGCCACCCUCCUGCAACAGGAGAUGCUCCAGUGGGGCUCACCGGCGGCGUGAGGACCUGGACCCAGAGCAGGAGGCAGAUGUCACCUAGCAACUUGUCCCUGUUGCAGGAGUCUUCGUCGGAGGGGAUGAAGACCUGGAGAAUACUUCUGAGGUCACCGGAACGCUUUCCUCGGGAGGCAAAUCCCAGAUUGUUUGUCCUGAUGUAUUUUGCUGCCUGCUUUCCGUGCCAUACGGUACCUUCAAAUGGAACGUGAGAGGCCACCUGCGCUUCCCUAAUGAAGCUUUCCUGCUGCGACGAGUUUCUUCCCCACUUCUUAUUUUAAAAUUAAUGGAGACACUCGAAGCUUAACACUGCCUUUGCCAUCGCUGUUUCCCCAGCUGGGCACUGCAAGCACUGAGUGAGGGCUGCGUCCCCUGGUACCACCACUGCCCCCACUGCUUGACCCAGAUCAGUUGUUUAUUUUUUUUUCCCAUUUCCUCCCCUGCAUGCUCGCUUUUCCAAGUUUGCAGCCUCUUAGCACUUAAGAACUGUCCUUGCGCAUUUAGGUAACUUUUGUCAGCUGAAGACAGGCAGCUGAUAUUGGAAGCUGCAGCUCAGAGGAAGCCCCAGUCCGGGUCACAGCUGUGAUUUGGGCCACCUGUGGCAAUGGGGCAGUUGCAGCAAAGCCGUUAACGCGGCAUUCACCUGCUGGCACUGCACUGCGACUGUCUGCUGCAGUCAAAGUUUGUUUAUCCUUGUGCAAUAAAUAGUUUUUCACUAUUUCAUGUCACAGUCUUAAUUUAGGAUAUGGCUCAUGCAUUAACAGUGCCGUACCAGCCAAAUACAUGGCAGGAUUGCUGAUUUCCUUACAGAGCCA